rnacentral:piRNA from 1 species
UGAGCUUUAACUACUGGAGAAUGGCCCCUGUA